UCCCACAUGGUAUAAUGUUGAUUGUUCUCAAUGUCUUGAUUUGAUCGCUAUCAACUUCAACUGGUCUUACCCAACUGUGGAACAUUGUCCAGUGAGAAAUCAGCAUGAAACUUUGCAAAACACAUUUGACACAUUCAGUCAGUCACAGAACCUUCACCAUGCACUGCACAAAUCCUUUUUUGUGUUUCAGUUG